AAAUUAUUUCCUGGAAUAUACAACGCAUCAAAAUUAAUUUUAAUAAAACCAUAGUCAGGAGGCCUCCAGACUUCAUUUCUCAUAAGAGCAGUAGAAACACAUAGAUUCUCACGAACAAGCCAUAAAUCUCACUCAUAGCCCCUGAUAAAUCCCAAUAGUUGUGGCAUAGAAAGCUUAAUCCCCUCAUGAACCAACUUAUUUUUGUGAAACUAGAAACACCAAAGAGAUAAAGCAAUAAACCUUUUUUGUCGACCUUCUGCUUCAAGAUAUGUUUUAACAAAAUUAGCCUUAUAAUCCAGGGAAUCGUCCAAAUGGGGAAUUUGAACUUGCAACGAUGUCCAUAUAUUUCGAAGGACCCUACAAGACCCCAACAAAUGCGCUGUAGUUUCUAAAUCUUCCUUACACAGUGGGCAUACAGCCUCCUCACACAGUGUUCGGCGUGCCAAGUUCCCAUAGUGUGGCACCAUGUUAUUGAAUAAUCUCCAAACAUGUAUUUUAAUUUUCUCUGGAAUAUGUAAAGCCUAGAGAUCCAUGUAAAAACUUUUGUAUUCUUCAUUUGUAGAGGACAUGUGUAGAUUGCUCUGUAAAUAAUCUGUAAUAAGAACUCGGUACCCACUCCUGACAGUAUACUCACCUGAGCCUUUAUACUUUCAUACCAACAUAUCCUCUGGUCGGCUUUCAGAGAUGGGAAUGGCAAAGAUUCGAUUAGCAGUGCCAUCAUCCACUAGAUUGUGAAUCAACUCUCUAUUCCAGGUCCUGUCUUCUUCAUUCAUUAACUGAUUCACUGUUGACCAAGGAGGCUUAAUUUCAAUAACCGGGAUUAUGUUAUUCUCCCUUCCAGGCAACCAGGGGUCAUUCCAAAUGUUGAUACUUACACCAUUUUCCACACGCCACAAGAUUCCAUCACUAAUCAGGUCCCGCGCACUACAAAUACUCCUCCAGGUAAAUGAAGGGUAAGAACCAACCUUUGCUGUUAGUAUAGUAGAAAGAGGGAAAU
rnacentral:lncRNA from 1 species